GGGGAUUUAGCUCAGUGGUAGAGUGUUUGCCUAGGAAGCGCAAGGCCCUGGGUUCGGUCCCCAGCUCCG
rfam:Rattus norvegicus chromosome 18, whole genome shotgun sequence.